UCUAGAUCAGUAGAAUUGUUAACAUAUUUGCAAUCUUUUACCAUUUUUCUUAAAUACUAGUCUUAUGUAAUGGGUUUGAAGUGAAUGUAGUAGUUGGCCUAAUUUUAAAUACACUCAAAACAUCUAAUUUAGAAACUAAUUUAAGCUCGAUGAGAUUUUCCAAAUGUUUGUUUCAGUUUUCUUAUAUUUCACGCUUUAGUUCUCCAGAUUUUCAAAGUGGCAAAAUGUACAUUGCAUUAUGGUAAAAAUGUAUAUUCCUUAUAUUUGUGUAAUAUUUUUACAAAAUUAAUUUUGAUUUAAAAUGAAUUUAAAAUACCCUUGAAUUCAAAGACUUAGUUUAGUUCUCUCCCCCCCUCAGGUUUUAAGAUUUUAGUUGUUAUGUCUGUAAGAAUGACUAAAUCAUAGAACCAAUUAUGGUCAAUAAUUUCUUCAUAAGUUUCGUUUCUGGAUUUUUAAAAUUCUUCUAUGAAACUUUUGUAACAGAAGCUGGGAUGGAACCCAGGCAGCCAGACAGAAUGUCCCUUCCCUGAGUGAAAAUUUCUAUCAUUUCACUGAAAGUGACAUUAUAAUAUUUCAGAAUAAACCCUCGUAACACUAAUAAAUUGUAAUUUGUCAUCAUUUUUGUGCACUCUUGGAUUGCAGAACAUGAUAUCAUGAAAGAAAAAGAACGGAGAAAUAGUGCAGAGCAAAAAGACAUCUGUGGCUGUGUAAUUUGUCAUCAUUUUUGUGCACUCUUGGAUUGCAGAACAUGAUAUCAUGAAAGAAAAAGAACGGAGAAAUAGUGCAGAGCAAAAAGACAUCUGUGGCUGUGUAAUUUGUCAUCAUUUUUGUGCACUCUUGGAUUGCAGAACAUGAUAUCAUGAAAGAAAAAGAACGGAGAAAUAGUGCAGAGCAAAAAGACAUCUGUGGCUGGUGAUGUCAUGAUAGUUAAACUCAGUCCACAGGAUUCAUGUAAUGAUGAACAUUUCAGUCCUAUACACACGCAACAUCCACAGCUAUUUUAGAUAAUAUGAUCAGCUUGGCUACGUGGAACUUAAAUAUCAAAGGAAACUGUCUGUUUCCACCAACUCUUGGAGGAUUUACAAGCCGUGUGCUUGCCUCCGCUCGUCUCCAAGUCUGGACGCUCUGUCGCUUUGGUCUCCACUGCUCCGCACUGUGCUAAGCUGGGAUGACGUUGUUAUGUAUCUUAAAAUUAUGUGGGGUUUCAUUACCUUUUUAAACUUUAACUUAACUGACUGUGUGUGCCGGACAAAAUACUCAAAUAUCAAAUAAUUCAAAACAUAUUCAUACUAUUCAUCAUUCAUAUAUCAUAUAAAAAAAAUCUUAUAUACAUUCGUAUAACAUAUCGAACAAUCAAUUGUAUAGUGGUAGUACAAUUUAACUUUUAGGUUUGCGUUGUGAGUAACUUAUGCAAAGGAAAAAUCAAUGACCCCAAAUUCAGUUAAACUCCAUGUUUCUUAAAAGCCUCCCGGCUCAAACAAAUGGAGGGACAUGACAGGCCACAGUAUAUUACAAGAUAAAUACACAAACACAAUUAAAUUUUAAACACAUUUAUUAAAUUCUUGAAUAUAUUAAUAGUAAAUAUUUGGGUAACUGAUCAGCAUCCCCUAUCACAUAUUUUUACUAUGAAAAUAUCGCAUCUGUUACACAAAAAUUCAGCUUUCAACAAUUAAAAGUUAAAUUUUUUUUUUCAAAUUAAGUAGGUGUAACAAAAUUUAAUCUUCCAAAUAAACAUGUUCUCAUUAAUUAGAAAGUAACGUUUUUCUAGCUCACAAAAUUCAGUAGGUGAAACAAAUUUUAAUCCUCCUAAAACUGGCAUUCACUUGAAAUUAUAAAUAACUUCUCAAUUUUACUAACUGUAAUAUUUAAUUUAUAUAAGUAAUAACAAUAUAAAGGUAGAUAAAUCAUUAUUAACUGUUCUGCAUUUGGGAAAACAAAGAGAGAGAGAGAAAAAAUAUACUUAAAAAUUUCACUCACAGAUGGAAACAGUUUUUGCUGAUAGCAGGAUCCUUAGUGUCCAAUCCACAUGGAAAAGAGCCAAGCCCAUUUUUCUUUCUGUAACAACCUUUUCUGAAGUGUCUAAAAAUCAUUAGGAAUCACGAGUGGAAAUUACAGUCUAAUAAUUCUUCAAACAGCCAGGAAUCGCUUUAUCUGUCCAUUAGGUGGGAACCAAUAGUCCAAUUUUGAAGGAUCUUUAUUUCAAUUCAAUAACAGAUAGCUGAAUAUACACAAGUUUUAGAGCGAUCACUUGUAUCAUCGAAGCGGCGAAUCAACAUUUUAUGCUGAAUAUUUCGGAAAAAGGCUCUUGGAGAUAAACCUGCGAUUCCGGUGAAGAGAGAAAAUCUGUGCUAAAUUUUCUUGGUAGAUUGCUCUAUAUCUGCACUAAAGUAUUAACCAGCUCUCAGUAAAAUGCUCUUUGCAGCUAGCGCACGUUUCUUUAGACAUCUCGCAGGAAAAGGUUCCUUGCAUCUCUCACACAAAACUUUUAAACAUCUGGCAGAAAAGAAGGAAUCCACUAGAGCAAAGGAAAACGCAGCCCAAGUCCUCUUGCCCCGGCAACUGGCUGCACGGCAAAGCUGGCAGCAGGGCAAACGCCCCUCGUUCGCUUUUUUUUUUCACAUCGCCGCUGCUCAAAAUCACCAACAGGCACUCGCGAGAACAAGACCGCACACUCUUUUUCUCCUUUUUCCUUCUCUUAGCUCAAAAAUCAGAAUCAGGAAUAAUUUCUAGCCUGGUGCAAGCACCCAGGAAAUCUCGGUUUCUCCGCCUCUGUGAGUUCAUAGGCUUUCAAAAAAUCAUAAAAUUAAAUCUUACCAAUCCCGGAAUUUUAUGUUAUCUAAAUU